GCCCGCCUAGCUCAAUCGGAUAGAGCGUCAGACUCUUAUGACUAGGCAUCUGCGAUCUGAAGGCUGCGAGUUCGACCCUCGCGGUGGGCU